GUGGUGCUGAGAUUUUUGUAUGGAUGGGUAGAAAUACAUCUAUUACAGAACGGAAGACAUCGAUUUCAUUUAUUGAAGAUUUUCUGAGAAAUCAGGGCAGGUCCACUGCAACCCAUUUAACAUUUCUUACUGAAGGACUAGAAACUUCCAUAUUUAAGUCAUUCUUUGAGAGUUGGCCACAAGUGGAGCCCAAUUUGUACGAAGAAGGUCGAGGAAAAGUAGCAGCAAUAUUUAAGCAUCAGGGUUAUGAUGUGAAGGAGCUUCCUGAAGCAGAAGACUGCCAGUCCUAUAUAAACUGCCAAGGCAAACUAAAAGUUUGGCGGGUAGAUGGUGAUGAGUUGAUCCUUGUUCCAGCUCAAGAGCAGAUAAAGCUUUUCAGUGGGGAUUGUUAUGUUGUCCAAUAUACAUAUGCUGGUGAUGGAAGGGAUGAAAAUCUAUUUUAUGCAUGGCUUGGUCGUGCAAGUGUACUGGAAGAUAGAGCUGAUGUCAUUACCCAUAUGAAUGCUAUUGCUGACUCAUCCAAGGGGGAUCCUGUUUUGGCUCGAGUUAUUCAGGACAAGGAGCCACUCCAACUUUUCUUGAUUUUCCAGACAAUAAUUAUUCUUAAGGGAGGNNNNNNGUAAACGAUACAAGAGGUUCAUUGCAGAAAAUGGUAUUUUGGAUGAAACUUAUGAUGAAGGAAAGACCUCACUUUUUCGAGUUCAAGGGACAAGUCCAAGUAGCAUGC
rnacentral:misc_RNA from 1 species